rnacentral:rRNA from 1 species
GUACGCUAUUCUAGAGUUUGAUCCUGGCUCAGGAUUAACGCUGGCGGCGUGCAUAACACAUUCAAGUCGAACGGAGUUAUCUGCUUCGGUAGGUAACUCAGUGGCGGACGGGUGAGUAACGCGUGAGCAAUCUACCCUCGGGUACGGAAUAACAACCGGAAACAGUUGCUAAUACCGUAUGAAAUGGCAGUACCGCAUGGUACAACCAUCAAAGAUUUAUUGCCCGGGGAUGAGCUUGCGUCCGAUUAGAUAGUUGGCGGGGUAAAGGCCCACCAAGUCGACGAUCGGUAGCCGGACUGAGAGGUUGAACGGCCACAUUGGAACUGAGAUACGGUCCAG